UUCAGGGAAGGAAGAUUGCCACAUGUGCAAAGACCUAGGACUGGUCCCCUAUCCCACUGCUCAACCCACCCAGGCUCUGUGUGCAUCCUGUUCUUCUCUUGGCCUAGGAAUACAAAGUAAUGAAAGAGAUCAUGCUCCUCCAGGUGGCUGCAGAUAAGUACACUCUAGAACCGAAGGAGGAGUUUAGAGCCUGCUUCCAGGCUGUGGAGCGACUCAGUGAGAAUGAGAGCUACAUCCUGUCCUGCCAGCUGGAGCCCCAAUCCUAGCUGACCAGUGAAACUCAAGAACAAGAAGAAUUGGCCACAAUCAAGCUCAGGACUGAGUGAAUGUCCAGUGCUAGCGCAACCUUUCCUCAGCAGCUUGGACACUUGCUGUGAUGAACCCCAUCUCCUUGACACUUCUUCCUCCCAUCUAUUUACCUACUUGGAGUGGCAAUAUUUAUCUUAAAUAGUAAAAGCUAGAUUUGAAUAUUAUUAUAUUAAAGCCUUCUUUUAUAGCCCAGGA